ensembl:processed_transcript Gimap1os GTPase, IMAP family member 1, opposite strand
GUUGCAUUUCCCCAGAAAGGCUCUUACCAUAGGCGUCUUCCUCAUCUCUUGCCAUCUUCCUUCCUCCCAUGCUUCUUAGAAGGCUCUCGGUUUUGGUUUUCUCAUUUGUGUGCUCAUUCCUGCAGCUGAGCAAAACCCAACCACAGAGUCAGGCAAAUUCUAAAGAAUACAAAGCAAGGCUUUUGUCUGCAAGGAGCCGAGCAUUUAGGCGUGCGCUUCCGUUUACAGGCACUUCGGGGGCACCUUUUGUCCACCAUAGUAAGUUCUUCUAUUCCUUCUUAGAGAUAGCAUCUGGAUUUUGAAGAAUAACAUCUAGGGGGACCAGAAAGAUGGUUGCAAUGCUAGCUUGACAACCUGAGCUUUCUCUCCUGACCUCAGGAAAGGUGGAGUGAACCAACGCCACAAAGUUGUCUUAUGAGUCUCCAAGCCCUUUGCUCUAAACUUUCCCCUUCUACUACCUAUGUUCUGGUUGUAACAUUAUCUGGUACAGCCAAGCACUUCCGGGUCACUUAAGCCUAAUUCCAGGAGUCCCUAAGCGCAAAGCAGUGCCCCCCCCUCCCCCCCCAGUCUGCUACUCCAACCUCUUAUUCAGCUAACAGGUCUCAGCCAGUGACUGCCCAGAAAUCAGAUUCAACCUCUCCCUGGCCUUUCUCUGGUGAUAGCUUUGGUUCCACAUUCCUGUCUGAGUGCUUAUCUGCAUCUCUCCACCAUUUCAUGCUCCAUCUCUUUGUCUCCACUAUGGGUGACAUGUUCCCUCCCUCUCUUCCUCCUGUGGGCACAACACCAGAGAAGGGUAAUGUUAACUCAAUAGCCUAUCUCCCACAGAAGGGCUUUGCAAACCAGAUGGGCUAAUACCCCUUCCAUCUCCCAAAGCCUUUAGUCAAACACUCUGUGGGAUUCCAUGUCUCUGUCCUGUGUGCAGAAAUCAGCAAAUGCCCACAAAUGACACAGAUCAGAACUGAAGAAACAGCCGUAAGAGCGGGGGCAAUGAGCAAGGUAAGAGCGAGAGCAAUGAGCAAGGCUUCUGCAGGAGCUGGAGGAGCUCUUCCUGGGGGAAAAUGAGGAGGAGGCACAGGGACUCCAUGGAAGCCCAGGGCAGGACGCUGGGGCUUCCAGAGUUCAGAGUGGAGGCUGGGCUUCCUUUGAUAGUUUCUAAGAGAAAGGCAAACACCGAGUGAAAUCUCGGGCGAUAAAUGUUUCUAUUAUCUGGGAACAUAAAGCACAUGCAGUUCUAUAUGCUCAAGAGAGCCCGGGAUAGUCCAGGUCCUUGCCUACAAGCUUGAUGGGGUUUUGGUUUUUGUUUUUUGGGGCUUUUUUGUUUGUUUGUUUGGUUGGUUUGGUUUGGUUUUUGUUUGGUUGGUUGGUUGGUUUUGGUUUUUGGUUUUUUUGUUUGUUUGUUUUGUUUUUUUGAAGUAUUUAGGUGUUCCCCUCAACAUCACACUUCUUGGAUCUAUCCUCAGUUGUUCUGAUACAACAAGUAGUAUCUUUCUCACAAGCUUAAUCUGCAUCCAGAAUUUGAAGAACAUUAUUUCUUAAACCCUUCCUUGUAGACGCGGAGAAACAGAGGUAUCCCUGCAGUUGGAGUGGGACAAACUCCAGGAAGACAAGUGAGGACUAAUUCCAUUCCUCUCAAGUUUGCUAGAGCCCCUCCGACUGGCAAGGAGAAGAAGAGACUUCUGAGAGACAGACGUGGCCCAUGAGGAGUAGCCAUGAAAGCAUGGUUUAUAAGGACACAGAAGGAUCGUUUGCCUUUGCUGAAUGUGCUUUUUUUUUCUAUAGAAAGAAACAUUUAAUGAAAUUUCUUUCAAAAUUCAUCACUUUACUCUUUAACUUGUUUUUUGGCCAAAGUACACAGUCCUGGAAGGUACUAGGUAAAGACAUGUUUUUUCAAGACCUUUUAAGUUUCUUUGAUACACCAGACAUCACCAGCUAAAGAUACCAUGC